GGCGUCUCUCUGAACCCCCUCGACCGUCCGAGCUUCCGAACUUCUCCGACAAUGAGCUUCUCCAUCCAUCUACCGGGCCACUACAAAGGCUCUCUAGGCCUCACUAUCAGCCGACCUUCUAUAGUGAUCAACUAUUCUUCGAACUUCUUCCAGACUUCAUCAAUAUCCGAGCUUCUUUGACAACGGGAUUUCUACAGUAAUCAGACUACAUCCAAGUUUCUACGGUGGUCGACCACCUUCAGGAUUCCAAUCGAGCUCCUACGAGAGCCGAACUUCUACUAC
rnacentral:lncRNA from 1 species